GGCAGGCCUAACACAUGCAAGUCGAACGGUAACAGGAAGCAGCUUGCUGCUUCGCUGACGAGUGGCGGACGGGUGAGUAAUGUCUGGGAAACUGCCUGAUGGAGGGGGAUAACUACUGGAAACGGUAGCUAAUACCGCAUAACGUCGCAAGACCAAAGAGGGGGACCUUCGGGCCUCUUGCCAUCGGAUGUGCCCAGAUGGGAUUAGCUAGUAGGUGGGGUAACGGCUCACCUAGGCGACGAUCCCUAGCUGGUCUGAGAGGAUGACCAGCCACACUGGAACUGAGACACGGUCCAGACUCCUACGGGAGGCAGCAGUGGGGAAUAUUGCACAAUGGGCGCAAGCCUGAUGCAGCCAUGCCGCGUGUAUGAAGAAGGCCUUCGGGUUGUAAAGUACUUUCAGCGGGGAGGAAGGCGAUAAGGUUAAUAACCUUGUCGAUUGACGUUACCCGCAGAAGAAGCACCGGCUAACUCCGUGCCAGCAGCCGCGGUAAUACGGAGGGUGCAAGCGUUAAUCGGAAUUACUGGGCGUAAAGCGCACGCAGGCGGUCUGUCAAGUCGGAUGUGAAAUCCCCGGGCUCAACCUGGGAACUGCAUUCGAAACUGGCAGGCUAGAGUCUUGUAGAGGGGGGUAGAAUUCCAGGUGUAGCGGUGAAAUGCGUAGAGAUCUGGAGGAAUACCGGUGGCGAAGGCGGCCCCCUGGACAAAGACUGACGCUCAGUGCGAAAG
rnacentral:rRNA from 1 species